GACGAACGCUGGCGGCGUGCCUAAUACAUGCAAGUAGAACGCUGAAGGAGGAGCUUGCUUCUCUGGAUGAGUUGCGAACGGGUGAGUAACGCGUAGGUAACCUGCCUGGUAGCGGGGGAUAACUAUUGGAAACGAUAGCUAAUACUGCAUAAUAGUAGAUGUUGCAUGACAUUUGCUUAAAAGGUGCAAUUGCAUCACUACCAGAUGGACCUGCGUUGUAUUAGCUAGUUGGUGGGGUAACGGCUCACCAAGGCGACGAUACAUAGCCGACCUGAGAGGGUGAUCGGCCACACUGGGACUGAGACACGGCCCAGACUCCUACGGGAGGCAGCAGUAGGGAAUCUUCGGCAAUGGACGGAAGUCUGACCGAGCAACGCCGCGUGAGUGAAGAAGGUUGUCGGAUCGUAAAGCUCUGUUGUAAGAGAAGAACGAGUGUGAGAGUGGAAAGUUCACACUGUGACGGUAUCUUACCAGAAAGGGACGGCUAACUACGUG
rnacentral:rRNA from 1 species